GUUGGAUCUUCAUUGGUUCUCGUUUUGACCAUGCGGUGAGUUCUCGGCAGACCAUGACCUGUGGGCUCGGUCUCUCAGCCGAUUGGCUGGGUGAGCCUUUUUCCCGCAUGCGUGCGUCGUGGGCGCUACACGUGAUUUACGCGAUAUGCAUCCCGCUCGCCCCUGUGGUUCGCUCGUCGGUGACAUUGCAGGUGGGGCUGGCUUCUCCUUGGUCCCGCGCGUCAUUGUCCUGCCUCUUGCUUUUAUGUGUGCGCGUGGCCUCCCGCGUUUGGAUUGGCUCGUGUCGCGUAUGGAGCGAGGAGGGACGCCAUCGCCAUGCCGCGUCGCGUCGUGAGCCAUACUGGUGGCUUCUUUUUCUUCUGACUCGUCUGUUACCUUUUCCUGUGUCGCUUUGACCCGUCGCCCACCUGUCUCGUCAUCCCUCUCGUCGUCCUCUCUGAGGCAUAGCCCUCUUCGUCCGCCCCAGGCCCAGGCGAUGGGGGCGCCGCCCUGGUUGCGAGGAAGCCGCUGGAGGAAGAUCUCAACUAGACAUUAUCGACCAGAAGGAAGGAGAAGGAUUCGAUCUGCAGAAGAGAGAUAGAAGAUGAGAGGGGGAGAGGGAAGGAAGGAGAAGGAUUCUAUCUACAAGAGAGAGAGAGAAGAUGAGAGGGAAAGAAAGAUGGAAGGAGAGGAGGGAGAAAGAGAGAGGAAAGAUGGGAGGGAGGCGCGACAGCGGACGUGAGAGGGUCAACGGUCGGCGUUGGCCUGCCCCGGCGAGGUAGGGCGCGACCUGAAGGUUGGUGGUGGCUCGAUCCGCUCCUGAAUCAGGACCUACGAGGAGGGUGGGGCUCGGGCGCGAGGCACGGCAGGCUGCGCUCCACCUCUUCCUUGAGGAGCAUGUGCAGUGGGCGGAUGGCAGCUCGCGCGGUGGUGCCGGGGCCUCAACAGGUGCACAAUGGGGACUCCAUGCAUCUCCUGCGCACCGCAACCCUCCCCUUCCCGGCACAGCAGAAACAAGGAUGCCGAAGCGGUUCAGUUGCGACGAAGAGUAGGAAGAUCGGGCGGAUAGGGUUUCACAUACCUCUUCUACACUUACAAGUCUUCCUUUCCAGGAUUGCCAUGUCUGUGUGCUGCUGCAGGGGGCUUUGGGGAUGGUGGCCUUGAUAUUCCGCACAGUGACAAGAGAUUUGUUGGCUUCAAGAAGGAUGAGAAGCAGCUGGACACUGAGAUUCACCGCAACUACAUUUAUGAAGAUCAUGUUGCAGACUACAUGAAGGUUACUGAAUCUUAUUUUAACUUCUGCCCUACCGUUAUUUCAGUCAAUAGCUGAUGCGGUACCUGAGAAGUAACAAUUUCACUUUAGUGAGUACAUCAAGAAGGGGAUUGCGGCUGAUGACAUGGAAGAACUGCACAAGAAGGUAAAUGCUACCAUUUGUGCUGAUCCUACCAUGGCAAAAUCAACCAAGGAACCUCUGAAGACGCACAAGAGGUAUAAUCUCAAGAAGCGUUGAGGUAGGUGACACAGCUUGCCAUGUAUGUGAUGUUGCAGCUCAAAAUUAAGAUGUUGUCAAUCCAAUAAGAGAAGCCAAGGAGCUAUUGGCGAUCGUGUGGUGCGUACUGGAUCAUGAAGUUUAUCUGUAUGUGGUAAUGGGGGUAUCAAUGUUUUCUCAUACUCAUGUAGUUCAUUCACUCCUAAACUGUAUGUUCUUCUUUUGUUAAAACCUUGGAAGUAUUAAGAUGUUAGGCUAAAUAAAUUCCUUCAUAAUGAAUAAUAGAAAAGUUUUGCUAUGCAAUAAGAUACAGUUGCAUGCAAAAAAUAAUCUUGUCUUAUAUAGUUAUAUAUCAAAACUAUGGAUUUGGUAUGCACUUCUUGUGAUCAUUAGUGUUCACUGAUUUCCUUCGGAUUUUCUUGGAUACCUGCGACAUCGUGGUGUCGGACGCGACGGACGCUGCCAGGUCCGCGCCCACAUCGUGCUCAGGGAGCCUGACCUCUUUAGUCGUGUUCUCCAUCUUGCAGCACAUGAUGAACUACACUGUAGAGUUCAGCUGUGUUUCCCCUGUUUUCUUCUGCUACAAGAGUUCUAAUGAUAUGUACUAUUUGGCUGCAAAUUUAUGUUGUUUGCAUCACCAUAUGGAUAGUCGUAACAAAUGAAGAGAUUUCAGAGAGUUUCACAAUCUGACUCGAGUCACAGGCUAUAGGUUAACUUUAAUUGAAUGGUAGUAUGGGAGUAAUAAUUUCUGAAAUCUAGAAAUGAUCUUGUUGCUCAUAUAGAUCUUUCUGGUAAUCUGAUCUACCUUUGCUGUAUUAGUGGUGUUGGGUUAAAAAUCAACAGUGGUGUUUAAAAAAGCUAAAGGUGACUGUUGUAGUUACUGGGAUCCUCCAAGUGGAUCAUUAUAAUGAUGAGAAAACAUACCCAAAAAAACAUAAAAUGGAUUAAAAGGAAACCCACUUUCUAGGAUUGUGGGCUGAAGACAGAAUGGAUGCAGGCUUUGUCUCGAAGAGAUUAUCUGACAAGAAUGAAUUAGUCAUCAACAGUUGAGGCGCAGCGUACCAUCUUACUUGCUCCACCUCCGGACUAUGUUAUUCUCUUCUUUUUCUCCUUCGUUGUUGUGUCGCUUGACUGCAUCUUUAUUAGUUCAAACUCAUGCUUGUUUUAGCUAGGAUGAAUUUAGGAAUGGUUGCCUUUUCAUGGUACAGUUGAGCUGAUGUUGAGUAUGUGUUUGUGUGUAACGGUUCAUUUCCUCCUUUUCUUUCUGCAACAUUUCGUGAACUUGCUUAUAAAAAGAUUCAUCACAUAGGCGUUUAGCUUGAUUGUUCCGCGUACCAUGAGAACCAGCAUGACUUUGGAUAUAUGUUUCUGCAGGUUUCAGAAUGUAUCCAAGAUUGCAGGGAAGUUAAUUACACCAUAUGUGGAAGAUGGGCUGUGGAAGAUGGACAUAGCCCCUCAGGUAAUUUCACUUUGUCCUGGAUUAAUAACAGAUUACUAAUUUGUUUGUUUAAAUAGGGCAGGUUAUUUACGGAAGUAUUUUCUAUGCCGAACUGGUUAGCAUUAAUUCUAGACCAUUUACUAUUGACUCGAUAAUUUACAUGUUGGCAAGGACUUAUUCCUGCAACCUGGUCAUAAUUGCUCGGCCAAUUUCCCAACCCAAAUCCAGAACCGCUUCAUCUUUAGAUCUUUACGUGCUUGAUGAAAUGCCUUAGUGAUUAAGCUCUGCGCUUUGUCUUUCUUUGUUCUCCUGCUCACGGAUUAACCGAUGACUGCAAGGCCGAGAGAAGCAUUAGGAACUGGUCCGCAGCGUCUUACAGUGUAUGCGUACACACAAUUCACUGCACUAACACUUAUUGAAUUGUUCAUCUUCUUUCUCCUCUGUUUGUCACGAAGAUUCUUCUAUGACCACCUCUUUGAGGAGAUCAACUAAUCUUCGUGUCGCAGUUUUUGUUGAAACAUUGAUUAGGUGCUCCAAGAAUGUAUGUGAGCUUGACAUUGUAUUUAACUGCAUCAAGGUACAAUGAUUCUCUUGGUUUGUAUUUUAUUCUGGAUUUCACUGUCAUAAUAAAUAAAGUCCAGAAUAGCAUUGGUGUUGUUUUAUCUUAGCAUGUACUCCCUCCGCUCCUAAAUAUAACUCAUUUUAGAGAUUUCAAUAAGGACUACAUACGAAUGUAUAUAGACAAGCAAACACUUUUUCGUAGAUUAGUUGCUUAGUUUCAUAUGUUGAACUGCGUUGUUGAGUGCAGUGCGUAGGCUCUUUAUAAAUUGCUAAGUAGGCGAUCAACGCGGCACAUGUGGGGGCUGUGAGAGCUGUGAAUGGCAUCGGUCUUGUCAUACUUAUGAGCAGGAGCACGGGCCACAUUACUCCCCUCUGAGCAGCCGAGAUGUUGACUGCUGCUUGAAUCCUGAGAUUGAUUUCCACGUUGUAAUGGAAGGAAGGCCUGUUUGAGUUCCUGUAUGAAAGGAUAAAGAAGAAGGGGCAUGCUGUCAUGGUAGUUGCUGAAGGCGUUGGUCAGGAGUUGAUUACCCGGACCGAUGACCAGAACCGAGAGCGAGCAGGGUGAGUAUGUCAACAUGUUGUUCCUUGACGUUGACCUUCUAUAAAGUUUACAUGCAACUCUCCUUCAUGGUUAAAAAACCAAUUUAAACGUUUUAUUUCUUUGAUGGUUACUCAUUUCUCUUACCGUUGUUGUAUCAAAACAAUUGUAUUUUUGUUGAUGGCCGCUUGGGCUCAUUUUCUAGGAGAAUGAGAUGUGGGAUAAACUA